ensembl:lncRNA
CUACAGUGUGGAUGUGGACAUGAAUUUCACUUUUAUUGAACAAAGGAUGAGAGUGUGAUGGUAAAGUGCAAACUGUAUCCAGGACUUGGCAAGCCUCUGCGAAGACACUGACUGAAUACCAACCCCAGCCCAGCAGACAGACCCUGAACUUCGACAGGUGUUUUGUGCCAGAAAUGGAGUGUCCACUGAAGACUGAAGAUACUGAAUCUCUACGCCGUGCCAUUGAUCCCUCCUGUGCCUUCAUCUAGACAAGAGACAUUAACUUAACCACUCUCACAUGCUCUGUACCUACAUCACCUUCCCUGACAGUCGUAGCUUGGCUCAUCUGAGGGUGAAAUUAUAAGAAUGUGUUAUUUUGCAAAGUGCUCUCUAGGGUUCCUAAAUAAAAUAUGGCAUUGAGGUCAUUUCUUUUGAAUUAAUCCCUUCUUCUGAAAUAUAAGAUCCUCUCCUGGUUUAAAUGGCACUUUCUGUUCCUUACUUCCUGUUCCACUCCCAACCCCAAAUAGAUGCUGACAAGCUGACACAGUAACAUGGAAGAGGGAAAGAAGCUGGAAAGGACUACUACAAAUAAACCUAAUGCCUAACAAUGAAAAAUGUAAAAUAAGAAAAAUAAUAAUAAAGAUAAAAGAUGAAG